GAUGAAGAACGCAGCGAAAUGCGAUAAGUAAUGUGAAUUGCAGAAUUCAGAGAAUCAUCGAGUUUUUGAACGCAUAUUGCGCCCUCUGGUAUUCCGGGGGGCAUGCCUGUUCGAGCGUCAUUAAAUAACCCUCAAGCAUAGCUUGGUGUUGGGCUUUUUUACGUCCUUGACUGGGAUGGGCCUAAAAAUUAGUGGCGAUGGCUUUUUUACUUUCAAGCGUAGUAAAUCUCGUCUUGCUAAAGAGGAAAAAGAUUUUUUUUCUGCCAAAAAUUUUAACAUUUAAAGUUGACCUCGGAUCAGGUAGGAUUACCCGCUGAACUUAAGCAUAUCAAUAAGCGGAGGA
rnacentral:misc_RNA from 1 species